rnacentral:lncRNA from 1 species
AGUGGUAGGCUGAUUGAGUUUAAUGUCAUUGUUAGGCUUUUGGCGUUGUUCUACGGCUUGAGUUUGCCCGAUCUCGGACAUAUUUAUUGAGAUGAUCUCGAUGAAUUAGAAUUUUAAUUUCAUCUUUAGGUUGCCGACAUUCUUCAGUAUCAUGGCUAUGGUCUUUAUGAUAACAAUAGUACUUUCUUUUAUCUAUUUUCAUCAGUGGAGCUUUCAUAGGGUUGGGCCGAUGAAGAUACCUC